rnacentral:rRNA from 1 species
UACGGAGGGGGCCAGCGUUGCUCGGAAUUAUUGGGCGUAAAGAGCUCGUAGGCGGCUUGUCGCGUCGACUGUGAAAACCCGAGGCUCAACUUCGGGCUUGCAGUCGAUACGGGCAGGCUAGAGUUCGGUAGGGGAGACUGGAAUUCCUGGUGUAGCGGUGAAAUGCGCAGAUAUCAGGAGGAACACCGAUGGCGAAGGCAGGUCUCUGGGCCGAUACUGACGCUGAGGAGCGAAAGCGUGGGGAGCGAACAGG